CAAUAGCGUAUAUUAAAGUUGUUGCGGUUAAAAAGCUCGUAGUUGGAUUUCUGCUGAGGACGACCGGUCCGCCCUCUGGGUGAGUAUCUGGCUCGGCCUGGGCAUCUUCUUGGAGAACGUAGCUGCACUUGACUGUGUGGUGCGGUAUCCAAGACCUUUACUUUGAGGAAAUUAGAGUGUUUCAAGCAGGCACACGCCUUGAAUACAUUAGCAUGGAAUAAUAAGAUAGGACCUUGGUUCUAUUUUGUUGGUUUCUAGAGCUGAGGUAAUGAUUAAUAGGGAUAGUUGGGGGCAUUCGUAUUUAACUGUCAGAGGUGAAAUUCUUGGAUUUGUUAAGGACGGACUACUGCGAAAGCAUUUGCCAAGGAUGUUUUCAUUG
rnacentral:rRNA from 1 species